rnacentral:lncRNA from 1 species
UGUUUUCUUUUUUAGGGUUAAAAGAAGAAAGGAAUCGUGAAAGUGGCUACUUCUCUCUGGGGAGGGCAGGAGGAGCCCGUUCUCUCAGGGAUCAGAGCCCCCCUCCCGUUUACCGCCAUUCAGAGAGGGGACACCCCCUCUACAGCAACCGGAGCCCUGAGCCCAAAGCUACCAUCCCCUUCAGGAACCCUAACCUGGGGCUGGCCUCGGAGAGGUUAAACCCAGAGAUACUAAACCCAGACCUGCCUCUGGAAAUCCCUGAACCUCCUGACGCAUUUGAUCUCACCAUCGAGGUUGAGGCUCAGGUGGGCCCUCGCUCCCCAAGCCCCACCCCUUUUAAGAUAGCAGAAUCCCUGGCCUCCACUAACCGGAGGGGUUUCAACAGCUCAUACAGUAGAAGAAACUCCCAUUCCUAUCAGGAGUCUGGGAAGUUAAAUUCAUCGAGACAAAGCUCCUCUCUGUCCCACUCCUCUUCACCCUUACGAAACACCUCCCCAUUCAAACGAAGUGAAUGUACCACCUCCCUCAACAGACGGGGCUUAGACUCUGAGGGCUGGUCUCAGGGGUGGGACCAGACUUCUAGAGGUCCCCCCCAGAGCUCUUUUGGACGAGGUGUUGAUAUUAGAGGCUUGAAUAAAAAUGUAAUAUCGAUGGCCAGUUCAGUUGGUUCCAUAUCACAGGUCAACUCUGUUUCAGAUUUUAAAAGUGCAUUGCGCAAGAAUGAGACAGACAGCUCCUUAAAUGGUCGUGGACGUGACACUCGAAGCUCCGCCCCUUCAAGGAGGGGUUACGAAAGCCCCAGACAAUCCCUGGUCCGCAAAUCUGAAACAAGUAACUCCUUAAAUGGCCGUGACAGCAGAAGCUCAUCUCCCUCGAGGAGAGCUUAUGACACCUCCAACCAAACCCUGCUUCGCAAAUCUGAUGGGAACAGCUUGAUAAAUGGUCGUGAAAGUCGCAAUUCUUCUCCCUCAAGGAGGAGUUACGAUGCCACCAGCCACUCCCUCCUUCGCAAAUCUGAAACAAACAGUUCUCUCAAUGGUCAUAGUCGACACGGCGGCCGGUGUGGCUCUCCCAUUAGGGAGGGUUAUGAUGCCGAAAGACAAUCUCUGUGGAAAUCAGCUUCUAGUAAUGACUUAAAUGUUCAUGCCUAUGAAAGUGGUAGCUCUUCACCUUCUAGACGUGACUUUGACACUCCUUGUCAAUUCCUGCUAUGCAAAAGUGAGACACGUGGCUAUGGAAAUGGUCGAGGUCGUGACAGUGGAAGCUCCUCUCCCUCUAGGAAAGGCUAUGAUGCCCCGAGCCAGUCACCUCUGCGCAAAAGUGAAUCCAACAGCUACUUGAAUAGUCAAGGUCGAGACAGUCGAAGCUCCUCCCCUUUGAGAAAGGGAUAUGAUCCCCCUGGCCAAUCACUGCUUCGUAAAUCUGAGACGAACAGCUCUGUCAGAAGUCAAAGUCGUGAUCGUCCUACCUCCUCUCCCUCUAGGAGAGGCUAUGAUACACCAAGCCAGUCAUCACUGCGCAAAAGUGAAUCCAAAAACUACAUGAAUAGUCAAAGUCGAGACAGUAGAAGCUCCUCCCCUUUGAGAAAGGGAUAUGAUGCCCCUGGCCAAUCACUGCUUUGUAAAUCAGAGACGAACAGCUCUGUCAUAUGUCAAAGUCGGGGUAGUCGUAGCUCCUCCCCUUCAAGGAGGGGCCAUGAUACCCCCGGCCAAUCACUACUGCACAAAUCUGAGAAGAGUGGGGCCCUCAACGGUCCGAGCCGUGACAGUCGCAACUCCUCGCCAUCCAAAAGAGGCAAUGACCCACCAGGUCAGUCACUCCUCAGGAAAACCACCAGUAGUGGUGACUCCAGCCUCUCUUACCAGAGAAAAAACACUUACGGUGAUGCUCGGCCUGACUCUAACCCCUCCCCUGGCGCCUGGCGAGGCUCCACCCACUUCCUACAUAGCACCUCCCCAUCGAAGGAGGGCAGAGAGAACAAAACAUCUGACUCCUCUCAGAGGGCCUCUGCUGUCACCUGGGAAACCACCAGGAGUAGCAGUAGUAGGCAGGGUCUGGAGACUCGUAGCUCCUCCCCAAACACAAAAGGAUUGACCAACCGCAACCUAAGUCCCUCCCCUCAGAUGCAAAGGCAAACCUCGUCCCAGAGUUCCAUUGAGUCCUUGGAGUCUGGCCAGUUGUCGGGGGAGUCAGCGGAGAGGAGUAGGGAGGGGUACGCAAUGAUGGCCGAUCUACCAAAGGUCAAGCCUGUCCUCCAAAGGGAGCAGCAUGGUCAUGUGGGACAGACUCCAAACCGACCCUCAGGGAGACAGGAGCUCUUCAAACCAGCAAGCCACUCCCUCUCCAAGCAUCCCUCCAGACAGUGGCUAGAUGACUCAGGGGACCUAGAGAGAAACCACAUAGAAUGGCAAAAUGGCAGCAGUGGUAGACUGUCUCGAGUACACUCGUCCACCUCUUUGCACAUGCAGGUGAGUCGUUCUGCCAAUUUAGUGCAUUUUGAGAAGUGUACUAUAACUUGGUCAAAA